rnacentral:ncRNA from 2 species
GAUAACAGGUUGAUGACUCCCAAGAGCUAUUAUCGACGGAGUCGUCUGGCACCUCGAUGUCGAAUCAUCACAUCUUGAGGUUGAAGAAGGUCCUAAGGGUCCGGUUGUUCACUCAUGAAAGUGGUACGUGAGUUGGGUUUAGAACGUCAUGAGACAGUUC